rnacentral:rRNA from 1 species
GAUGAACGCUGGCGGCGUGCCUAAUACAUGCAAGUCGAGCGAACAGAUGAGAAGCUUGCUUCUCUGAUGUUAGCGGCGGACGGGUGAGUAACACGUGGGUAACCUACCUAUAAGACUGGGAUAACUCCGGGAAACCGGGGCUAAUACCGGAUAAUAUUUUGAACCGCAUGGUUCAAUAGUGAAAGACGGUUUCGGCUGCCACUUAUAGAUGGACCCGCGCCGGAUUAGCUAGUUGGUAAGGUAACGGCUUACCAAGGCGACGAUACGUAGCCGACCUGGGAGGGUGAUCGGCCACACUGGAACUGAGACACGGUCCAGACUCCUACGGGAGGCAGCAGUAGGGAAUCUUCCGCAAUGGGCGAAAGCCUGACGGAGCAACGCCGCGUGAGUGAUGAAGGUCUUCGGAUCGUAAAACUCUGUUGUUAGGGAAGAACAAAUUUGUUAGUAACUGAACAAAUCUUGACGGUACCUAACCAGAAAGCCACGGCUAACUACGUGCCAGCCGCCGCGGUAA